GACGAACGCUGGCGGCGUGCUUAACACAUGCAAGUCGAACGAAGUGGCGAACGGGUGAGUAACGCGUAAUCCACCUGCCCUUCAGAGGGGGACAACAGUUGGCAACGACUGCUACUACCGCAUACUUAAGGAGGGGAUUGCGUCUGAUUAGCUCGUUGGAGGGGUAACCGCCCAACAAGGCGAUGAUCAGUAGCCGGUCCGGGAGGGUGAACGGCCACAUUGGGACUGGGACACGGGCCAGACUCCUAAGGGGGGGAGCAGUGGGGAAUCUUCCGCAAUGGACGAAAGGCUGACGGAGCAACGCCGCGGGAGUGAUGACGGCCUUCGGGUUGUAAAGCUCUGUUAAUCGGGACGCGGUACCGGAAUAGAAAGCCACGGCUAACUACGUGCCAGCAGCCGCGGUAAUUC
rnacentral:rRNA from 1 species